rnacentral:rRNA from 1 species
CGAGCACGCGCGUGUGGCAUAUCAAUAAGCGGAGGAAAAGAAACUAACAAGGAUUCCCCUAGUAACGGCGAGUGAAGCGGGAAGAGCUCAAAUUUGAAAUCUUAAAGGGUUUCCCUUUACGAAUUGCAGUUUAAAGAAGUGUUUUCUGUUGAGGUUUUGGAAAAAGUUCUUUGGAAUAGGACAUCAUAGAGGGUGAGAAUCCCGUAUUUGACCUUUACUUUCAACUUUGUGAUACACUUUCAAAGAGUCGGACUGUUUGGGAAUGCAGUCCAAAAUGGGUGGUAAAUUUCAUCUAAAGCUAAAUAUUGGCGAGAGACCGAUAGCGAACAAGUACCGUGAGGGAAAGAUGAAAAGAACUUUGAAAAGAGAGUUAAACAGUACGUGAAAUUGUCAAAAGGGAAGCGUUUGACACCAGUGUUGUUUUUCUGAAAAUCAAUUAAAGAACUGUUUAUGCUAAGUUGUUUGGACUUUAUCAGCUAACUGUUUAGUUUUGAGCUUUUCUUUAAUGCACUUUUCAGUUAACAAGUCAACAUCAAUUUCUUUUGCUGUAAAAAAGCUUGAGGAAGGUGGCUUGAGAUUCGUCUUAAGUGUUUAUAGCCUCUUGCCUAUGCAGUCGGAGAGAUUGAGGUCUGCAGCGUAGAUCCUUCGGGGCUAAAUGCAUUUGUGCUAAGUUAUAGCAUUUUAUAGACAACUUGUUGACUAUGAUUUGUCUUGUAGCUUACUCGCUUAUGUUAUUUUACCUACGCUUAGGAUGUUGAAGAUGUAGCACAUCAU